UCCUACGGGGGGCAGCAGUGGGGAAUAUUGGGCAAUGGGCGCAAGCCUGACCCAGCAACGCCGCGUGAAGGAAGAAGGCUUUCGGGUUGUAAACUUCUUUUGACAGGGAAGAGCAGAAGACGGUACCUGUCGAAUAAGCCACGGCUAACUACGUGCCAGCAGCCGCGGUAAUACGUAGGUGGCAAGCGUUAUCCGGAUUUACUGGGUGUAAAGGGCGCGUAGGCGGGAUGGCAAGUCAGAUGUGAAAUCCAGGGGCUCAACCCCUGACCUGCAUUUGAAACUGUCGUUCUUGAGUACUGGAGAGG
rnacentral:rRNA from 1 species